CUGCCACCUUCACUAGGCCUAUGCCUCCCUCCUCUUCCUCUCUCUAGCCCAUGUCCCUUCGCUCUUUUGGCAUUCUCCUUUGGAGCCAAAAAAGGGGUGGGCGGCACAUAAGGGUGGUGUCAAUUAGUUAGCGCCACUUGUUUGGUUCUUGUUCUCUUUGCUCUCAAAUUUGUUGAGAGUUAGUUACAACUAUUUUUUAGUUGUUGUUGUUCUUGAUUAGUUGAAGGAUUAAGAAAGAAUUCUUGGUUUCUUCAAGAAUCAAGAAAGAAAGAUCGAAAGGGUUCAAAAUUAAAAGCUUCUCCAGGCUUGGUUCAUGCCUAUUCAAGUUUUGAGUUCAAGUAAAUUGUAUCAAAAGAAGCCUAUCCAAGUCGGUCCUAUAGAUAUCCAUAG
rnacentral:lncRNA from 1 species